rnacentral:rRNA from 1 species
ACUCCUACGGGAGGCAGCAGUGGGGAAUAUUGCACAAUGGGCGCAAGCCUGAUGCAGCCAUGCCGCGUGAGUGAUGAAGGCCUUAGGGUUGUAAAGCUCUUUUGUCCGGGACGAUAAUGACGGUACCGGAAGAAUAAGCCCCGGCUAACUUCGUGCCAGCAGCCGCGGUAAUACGAAGGGGGCUAGCGUUGCUCGGAAUCACUGGGCGUAAAGGGCGCGUAGGCGGCCGAUUAAGUCGGGGUGAAAGCCUGUGGCUCAACCACAGAAUUGCCUUCGAUACUGGUUGGCUUGAGACCGGAAGAGGACAGCGGAACUGCGAGUGUAGAGGUGAAAUUCGUAGAUAUUCGCAAGAACACCAGUGGCGAAGGCGGCUGUCUGGUCCGGUUCUGACGCUGAGGCGCGAAAGCGUGGGGAGCAAACAGGAUUAGAUACCCUGGUAGCUCGAUGU